AUGCACCAGUACUGGUGGGGAGUUGAGAAAGGAAAGAAUAAAAUGGCCUGGAUGAGCUGGGACAAAAUUAGGCUUCCAAAGUCUAUGGGAGGUAUGGGAUUCUGGGAUAUGAGGGCGUUCAACCAGGCCCUCCUCGCGAAGCAAGCAUGGCGGUUGCUGGACACACCACAAAGUUUAUGUGCAAGGUUAUUGAAAGCAAAAUAUUACCCCUCCAGCAAUUUAUUGGACACGGUGUUUUCAAGCAAUGGUUCGGCAGUCUGGAAAGGAAUUUUACAUGGUCUCGAACUGCUGAAGAGGGGUAUCAUUUGGAGAGUGGGGAAUGGUGCACUAAUACGCACAUGGAGGGAUCCCUGGAUCCCAAGGGCGUCCUCUUUCCGGCCAAUCACACCAAAACACAAUUGU
rnacentral:rRNA from 1 species